AUUGAACGCUGGCGGCAUGCUUUACACAUGCAAGUCGAACGGUAACAGGCCGCAAGAUGCUGGCGAGUGGCGAACGGGUGAGUAAUGCAUCGGAACGUGCCCAGUCGUGGGGGAUAACGCAGCGAAAGCUGUGCUAAUACCGCAUACGAUCUAUGGAUGAAAGCAGAAAACCGUAAGGCCUCGCGCGAUUGGAGCGGCCGAUGUCAGAUUAGGUAGUUGGUGGGGCAAAGGCUCACCAAGCCGACGAUCUGUAGCUGGUCUGAGAGGACGAUCAGCCACACUGGGACUGAGACACGGCCCAGACUCCUACGGGAGGCAGCAGUGGGGAAUUUUGGACAAUGGGGGCAACCCUGAUCCAGCAAUGCCGCGUGAGUGAAGAAGGCCUUCGGGUUGUAAAGCUCUUUUGUCAGGGAAGAGACACCGGCUCUAACACAGUCCGGGAAUGACGGUACCUGAAGAAUAAGCACCGGCUAACUACGUGCCAGCCGCCGCAGUAA
rnacentral:rRNA from 1 species